rnacentral:rRNA from 1 species
GGGAAGGCCGUGCCAGGGGAGGCGGUAAUCGGGGGGGGGGUAGCGUGGGUCGGAAGUACGGGGCGGAAGGCGCACGUAGGCGGACCGGAAAGUGGGGGGUGAAAUCCCGGGGCUCAACCUCGGAACUGCCUUCAAAACUACUGGUCUUGAGUUCGAGAGAGGUGAGUGGAAUUCCGAGUGUAGAGGUGAAAUUCGUAGAUAUUCGGAGGAACACCAGUGGCGAAGGCGGCUCACUGGCUCGAUACUGACGCUGAGGUGCGAAAGCGUGGGGAGCAAACAGGAUUAGAUACCCUAGUAGUC